rnacentral:rRNA from 1 species
CGCUUAUAGAUAUUAAUUAUAAGUAGGUUCUGCCCACUGAUGUAAAUUAAAGGGCUGCAGUAUAUUAACUGUGCAAAGGUAGCAUAAUCAUUUGUUUUUUAAUUGAAAACUGGAAUGAAAGAAUUGACAAAAUUUUAAUUGUCUCAAUUAAAACUAUUGAAUUUAAAUAUUAAGUAAAAAUGCUUAAAUAUUUUUAAAAGACGAGAAGACCCUAUAGAAUUUUAUAAUAUUAUUUAUACAGUAUUUUAUUAAAUAUAGAUAUGGUAUAUUUAUUUUUAUUUUGUUGGGAGGACAGUUUAAUUAAAUUAACUUAAAUUUUAUAAGACAUAGAUAAAUGAAAAAUUGAUUAUUAUUAUAAUUAAAAGAGAAAAUUACCUUAGGGAUAACAGCGUAAUAUUUUUGGAGAGAUCAUAUUGAUAAAAAUGGUUGCGACCUCGAUGUUGAAUUAAGAUAUAGUUUAGUUGUAGGUGAUUAAAUUGUUAGUCUGUUCGACUAUUAAAAUCUUACA